rnacentral:misc_RNA from 1 species
GUAAACUCGAGAAUGACCUUCUUCACGUUUUUUAAGGCAGUAUAAACUUGGUAAAAAUCACAAACAUAAAAAUAAAGGAAAUACGUAAAAUAAAACGAGCACUUGAUAAAGUAGCGAUAUAAACACUCACCUGUAGGGAGCCAAAUCUACUAAACUAACUACGGAAUCACAAAACGUAAUAGGACUGCAGGUUGAUAGCCGGAGGACUAAAGUUCGCUUUGAAAUGAAGGAUACUUUGCCGAAAUGCAAUCAGGUUAAAAUAACCGAAUUUGAAUGAAUUUGAGCUUGGACAAUGGGAGUGGAAAUAAAGAUAACAAAGUCUGAAAGUGAGAGUCACAGGAUAAUGAACGGACUGA